UUUGGGUCUCAGCUGAAAUAUUUCUUUUUAGAGAGAACUUUCCUUCUGAAACCAAUUCAUGAAGUUUUCUCCUCUUGCUGCCCUCCCUAAUUGCAGUUAAAGCAUUCUGCAAGUUAUUCAUUUUAUUUGUUAACUGGCUUGAUUAUUGUCAGUUUCUCCCUCUGAUGUGACAUCCACAGGGAGAAUAACUCUGCCUGUCUUGCUGACUUCCUUUUCUCAUGUGCCUUGCCUAGGGCCUGGCACAUAGUAGGUAUUUAGAAAAAUAUGUAUUGGAUGAAUUAAGCCACUGGGAGAACAAGAGACAGGAAUGUUAAUAACUGAGUGCAGAAUUUAUAUAGAAUUGCUUAUUUAUGUAUGGCUAGGUUAAGAAAUGUAAGGUCAAAGUGGAAGUUCAGAGCCGAGUCAAGAGGGCAUUGUAUUCGCUGCUAUAGUAAUGACUGGACUUUAUCCUGUAGGUGAUAUGCAUUUAUGGAAGGGCUUAAGCAAGGGAAGACACAGUCAAAUUUAUAUUUUAAAACGAUCCAUCUAGCUAUAGGGUAGUGAAUAGAUCGGAAGGGAAGAAGACAUGCUGCAAAGGAACAAAUUUGGACAUGGUUGAAGAAAUCUGAGUGAGAGAUGAUAGAACCUCUAAGUAAGGCCAGUGACAGUGGAAGUGAAGCCAUAUUUGAAAGAUCUGAGGUAGGAAAAAAGUUUUGAUUGAAAGUGGAGAGUGAGGAAACGGGAAUGGAAAGGAAUGGAAACAGAGCAGCAAAACACUUAAGUGGGUCAAACAGAGCAAAGGCAGCAAAACACUUAAGUGGGUCAAACAGAGCAAAGACACAUUGAUAUAAAAUGAUGUAUGAAAAGUUGAUAUGAACAGUAGCGUUUAAAUUUCCCCUAUGUCCACUCCCUCAUUUCUAGCUCCAUGGUAACCUUGAAAACCAGCUAUCUCUAAUAUCAGUGAAAAUGAGCAUCCUGCACCCACUAGAGGGAGCAAAACAGGGCUGGAACCCUUUCAAAGCCUCAUUUCCAGAGAACUGUCCUUAUUUAUUUGUCUGUUGGUGUCUUGGAAGACUCCAUUCUCAAGGCUGUCCUUGUUAAGCUGGGUUAGAGCUCACUUUGUGUGGAAAGUCUUUUCUUUAGUGUUGAAAACAGCGAAAGACAGUUGUUUAAUAUUAUGGCUACCUGAGAUAGUAGAUAAAAAUUGGGGCAAGUAAUUGACUAACCAAAAAGCUCAAAGGAAAAAUCUAGAGCAUAACAUCUCCAUAUGGGGCUUUGAAGAGCUUUGACACAUUCCUGAGAAGCUAGAAGCCCAUGUGCCUGCCUUGAGCUGUGUGAAUGCUCAGGAAAGACCUGAGAAGGAUCUAAGCUCUCAUCUGUGGGUGACUUUGAGGCUCCUCCCAGGGAGAACCAAAGGCUAAGGCAGCAUGGUUAACUGCUCACUGAGGGUUGAGGGCAUGGUCAACAGGCACACAGGCCCUUUUGACAAAGACUGAGAGACUUAUUGGUUCUAAGAAUUUGAGGAAAUCUCUGUCUAAUUCGCUGAUCACUAAGCUUACAAAGCAGAGCUUUAAGAGUUGAUAUACGUCAAAGAAUAUAGACUUUACAUAAUUCAGUAAAAUCACUAAACAAACAAUAGCAACUACAAUAAACAGCAAUAACAACAAACCCUGGUUGGAGGGUGGGGGAAGAAUCUGAUUUCCAGAGUGCCACAUGAUUUAAAAUGUUCAGUUUUGACAAAAAUUUAUGAUAUGCAAAGAAAUAGGAAAGGAUGGCCCUUACACAGAAAAAAAGGAGUCACUAGAAACCAAGAAAGACUCCUUGAUAGGCUUAAGAGACAAAGAACUCAAGUCAGCUAUUUUCAAUAUAUUCAAAGAACUAAAAGAAAACAUGUCUAAAGAACUACAAGAAAGCAUGAGCAUGAUGUCUCACCAAAUUAAUAAUAUCUGUAAAGAGAUAAAAAUUAUAAAAAAGGAACCAAACAGGACUUUUGGUGUUGAAAAGUACAAAAACUUAAAUGAAAAAUUCACUAUAAGUUAUCAAGAUCAGAUUUGGGUAGACAGGAAGAAAAAAAUCAGCAAACUUAAAGAUAGGUGGUUGAAAUUAUCCAAAUUGAGGAACAUUAAAAAAAAAAA
rnacentral:lncRNA from 1 species